GGAGAGAGAGAAUGUCAAGAGUGCUGGACGCAGGGCUUGACCUCACAAGCUGUGAGAUGACGACCUGGGCCAAAAUCAAGAGUUGGACCCUUACCUUUUUUUAAUGUUUCAUUUAUAUUUGAGAGACAGAUAGAGCACAAGCAGGGGAGGGGCAGAGAGAGAGGGAGGCACAGAAUCCGAAUCAGGCUCCAGGCUCCGAGCUGUCAGCACAGAGCCCGACGCGGGGCCCGAACUCACAAACCACGAGAUCACGACCUGAGCUGAAGUUGGACGCUGAACCGACUGAGCCACCCAGGUGCCCUGACCUGGAACAGAGUUUUAAAUAGACAUACUAAUGUCGUUUGUAUCAAGCUCAAAAACAACGUUCUGUUUCUUUUUGGUAAUUUGAGCUCACAUCUUUGAUUUUGCAAUAUUUCUUUUUCAAAUAAUUUGUUCUAUUACCUAGAUUUUUUUUUUUUAAUGGAGAAAGUACAGAUGAAACUUCCUCUUGUUGCUCAACAUAAUAUCUUCCAGAUUAGUUGAUUCCUUUUGCCUGAUGCUUAGGUUUUCACCACAUACAUUACCACGGUAAUUAUCAAUGGGCAUUGAGACUGUUUCUAAAUUAUUUGCUUCUGUGAACAAAGUAAGAUUUAAUAUCAGAUCCCCCCCAAAUGAAACUGCUGGGACCCAGAGCAGUCACAUCUUCUAUUUUGAUAGCUUGUCACCAGUUUGUCCUCCAAAGGUUGUUUCCAUUGACAUUUCUGCCAGCAGUGGCUAAAAUCUCCAAAAACAGGCUUUCUGGACACAUUUUGCGCGUGUCCCUGGCCAGAAAAUCCCAGAGGGAGGAAGCGAGUGAUGGAUCCUUCGAUUCACAAGAGGUCAAAUGCAUUGGUCCUGAUGUGAGCGUUCGGUUUUUUCCCGAAAACAAUUUGUCAUGUUCACAGGAAAUUUUGCCCAUGAACCCUUCUGAAUUCCCCUGGGAGGGUCAUCACGAAAUCAGGCUUUGAUUUUCAAUGUUUUGUUGUUGUUGUUGUUGUCUAAAUUAAAAACAAUCCAUUUGGUUUUAUUUGUGGGUUUGGGAAGAGAAGGGAAGUGUCAUGAGGAAGUCAACUUUGUGUCACUACGAGAAACUGACCACUGAUGUUCUCAAGAAGAUGCAAGAUUUUAAAAAACUCUCACAGAACUUCAGGAAGGUCCUUAAGAAAGUAAUAUUUCUUGGGGUGCCGGGGUGGCUCAGUCAGUUAAGCGUCCGACUUCGGCUCAGGUCAUGAUCUUGCGGUCUGUGAGUUUGAGCCCCAUGUCGGGCUCUGUGCUGACAGCUCAGAGCCCGGAGCUUGCUUCAGAUUCUGUGUCUCCCUCUCUCUGCACCCCCACCCCCUCGUGCUUGCUCUCUCUCUCUCUCUCUCUCUUAAAAAUAAAUAAACACCUGGGGCGCCUGGAUGGCUCAGUCAGUUAAGCGUCUGACUUUAGCUCAGGUCAUGAUCUCAUGGUUCGUGAGUUCAAGUCCCACAUCAGGCUGUGUGCUGACAGCUCAGAGCCCGGAGCCUGCUUCGGAUUCUCUGUCUCCCUCUCUGUCUGUUCCUCCCCUGCUCAUGCUCUCUUUCUCUCUCUUUCUCUCAAAAAUAAAUAAAUAUUUAAAAAAUAAAAUAAAAAAUAAAACCUUAAAACAAUAUAGAAAAAAACCUUUAAAAAAAUAAACAUUAAAAAAAAAAAAGAAAGAAAUAUUUCCAUUGAAGAACGAUUUCGGUGAAAUCCAAAAAACCCUCCACUUUUACUAUCAGUGUGUUUGGUUAAAUUCAAAUGAAAAUUAAGUUUUGUGCUUUUGGAGGUGACCGAGGAGGAGCCCCGUCCCCUCUGGGCCUCCCUGUUACUGGCUGAUAAAAGGCACCCCACUUUCUUACCUGGGACUGGGGGGUUGACUGAGUCAGGCUGCUGCUGUCCCAGCCUGCUUCUCCUGCAGCCGCUCCAAGGUUUCCCAUUUCUGUCCCUCCUACUGUCACCGCAGCCACAGGAGGGGGGCUCCAGGGAUGGGAAGCCAGGGCAGGGACCUAGGAGGGGGUGAUGGUGAUAGGGGCGGGGACAGAUAAAGAGAGACAGAGACUCAGAGGGGCGCCUGGGUGGCUCAGUUGGUUAAACGUCCUCCGACUCCAGCUCAGGUCAGGAUCUCAAGGUUUGUGAGUUCGAGCCCCACGUCGGGCUCUCUGCUGUCAGUGCAGAGCCCACUUUGGAUCCUCUGUCCCCCUCUCUGCCUCUCCCCUGCUGUCUCUCUCCCUCUCUCAAAAAUAAACAUUUAAAAAAGAGAGAGAAAGAGACAGAGAGAGACUUGGAGACAGAGAGACAGAGACUUGGAGGGAUAAUUAGAGAGUGGGAGGCAGAACAGAGCAAAGGCAGGUCAAAGACUGGCCCUGUGAGGUGGGAACAGAUGGGGGUCCAGGAGGCAGGUCCCACCAAGGAGCGCUAUUUACUUCCCUGGGCAGCUGAGGGAUCCUCAGCGCAAGGAGGGGCGGGGGGCUGGGCUUGUUCUCCCCAGGUCACCCUCAAACCUCACCUACACCCUGGAGGUUCAAAGCUCUCGCUCAGUCUGUGUCCUCUCUUUCUUCCCAAUUCUUUCUGACACCAGAUCUAACUGCCAUUCCUGCUUACACACCUGCCUUGGCUCCCUAUUUCCCUCCCUCCCCGAAACUGAUUUUCAGGGGUCGGGUGGUAAGGCCAAGAUGAAGCCCGCAGAGUAAGUUGGUAAUAAUGAUGUUUUAUGUGCCAUUUACACCCCUGAGCCCAGCCCUUUUACCCUUGGAUCCCACAGCGACCCAGUGAAGGGGUCUUAAGUCAGACAAAGCAAGAUCAGUCUCCUGGUCUCCAGCUCUGCUUGACUCCAGAAGAAGCCACUUCCUGCACACUUCUGGAUUGACGCCAGAGUUGGGGGUGGGGUGAGGGCAGCUUUCAGAACCACCCUUAACCUCUCCAGCUGAAGCCUUCAAGGGCAGCAAUCGGAUGAGCAAGUUGGGGCGACCCCUGGUGGCUGUCAGCAGAACUAAGCGAUUAGACCUUCCUCCCCUCAGCCGCACUUCCUCCUUGGGAGUUGACCCUCCAAUUCCCCCUCCACGUGGGCCCCUCCCAGGUAAAGCCCCAGAUCCAGCACGUCUAAACCCCAGGGUGGUAGUGGGGGUAAUGAGCAGGGCUGGAUGAGGUGGGGGAAAGAGUUCCGAGGGCUUCUACCGCCCUCAAUUACCAGCCUCUUAGGAAUUUUUUAAAACAAAUUUUAAUCAUUUUAAAUGUCAUACAGGUGCAUGGCUUUAAAAAUGCAAACUUUACAGGGGGCGCCUGGGUGGCUCAGUCGGUUAGGCGUCCGACUUCGGCUCAGGUCAUGAUCAUCUCACGGUUCGUGGGUUCGAGCCCCGCAUCGGGCUCUGUGCUGAGCCUGGAGCCUGUUUCAGAUUCUGUGUCUCCCUCUCUCUCUGCCCCCCCCCCCCCCCCGUCUCCCUCUGUCUCAAAAAUAAACAUUAAAAAAAAUUUAAAAAUGCAAACUUUACAAAAGGGCAUACAGAGAAACAAGAGACUGUCCCCCCCACCCCCCAGCCCUCUACCCCAGCCCAGCCCUCUAGCCCCCUCGCUCCUAGCUCUCAGCAGGUACUACCUGACCCAAAGUCGGUGACCAGUGUUUCCUUCAGAGUUAUUUGGGUAAAAUUCUCUUUGUCCCUGCAUUUUGAAAAAUGUACACCAAUUAUCACUCUCCUGCUUUUUACAUUAAUGUAUCUCGGAGAUUUGCUUUGUCACCUUAAAGAGUGCAUAGUAUCCCACUCUAUGGAUGGAUGGACACUCAUUUAUAACAGUCACCAGCCGGAAGACAUUGAGGUUGUUUCCAAUUUUUAACAAUGACCAAGAAUGUGAUAACAAAUGUCCUCGUCCUGCCCCCCCCCCCUUUAGUCUCUUUUUAAAAAGUAAAACCUUUUCUUUUGGAAUAAUUUUAGAUUUACAGAACAGUUGCAGAGAUAGUACAGAGCCCCUGAACGGCCGUCACUGAACUUCUUCCAUGGCCAAGUUCUUUGACACCAUGGCAUCCAAAUUUUAUUUGUCCAAACUAAGAAAUUAACUCUAGUGCAUUAAAAUAAUUAUACUCUAGACUUUAUUUGACCUUCUCACUAAGUGUUUUUCUGUGCCAGGAUCCAACCCAGGGUUCUGCAUUGUAUUUUGUCCAUCAAUCUGAUUGAUUGAUUGAUUGAUUGAUUGAUUUAUAAGUAGGCUCUGCACCCAACCUGGGGCUUGAACUCAUAACCUGUAGAUCAAGAGUGUGCUCUGCAGACUGAGCCAUCCAGGUGCCCCUGGUCCAUAAUUUUGUACCCAUGUAAAUAUGGUUGUAGAAAAAUUUCUAGAAGGGGAAUUGAUGGGUCAAAGGAUGUAUACACUUUUACUUUUGAGAGGUUCUAGAAAAUUGCCCUUCCAAGUGGUUGUACCACUGGGCUCUCUCACUAGCACCACGUGGGAUUACUUGUUUCCCCACAGCAGUGCCAGCACAUGGUACUUUGCGAUUUGCUCGUUUUCAUUUGCCAGACUAAUGGGUAGAAAGUGGUACCACCUUGUCAUUUCAAUUUGCAAUUCUUUUCUAGGAAAGAGGUUGGUCGCUUUUUUUUUUUUUUUGCAUAUUUCUAUGAAAUGACUGUCUAUAUUCUUUGCCCAUUUUUCUACCGUGUUGUUUUUUGAAAAAUUAAUUGAUAAGAGCUCUUUACAUAAGAAGGAAAUUAGUUUAUUCCUGGAGAUAAGUAACUAUAUGAAAUAGAUCUAAGAAAGUUUCAGUUAGUUCUCUUGGGUUUUCUCUAUAUAAAACCAUACUACCAGCAGGUAAAAUUAUGUUAAAUUGCUUCCAAGGCUCUCCUGCCCAAAAUGCCAACCUGAAACUAAUCUUACAGAAACAUCACAGAAACCCAAAUUAGGACACCAGAAAAUGACUGCCUUGGGCCUUUAAAAAACGCCGUCAUAAAAGGCAAAGACAUACUGAGAAAUGUUCCAGAUUAAAAGAACUAGAAGACCUGACAAAUACAAUGUGUGAGCCAGGAUAUUCUUUUGUUAUAAAGGACAUUACGAGAACAGUUGGCAAAGUCUGAUUAAAGUCUGUAGAUUAGAUAAUGGUGUUUUAUCAAUGUCCACUUCCUGAUGUUCAUCAUUGUACUGUGAUUAUGUGGGAGAAUGUCCUUGUUUUUAGGAAAUGCAUACUCAACUGUUAUGGGUAAUGAGACAUCGUUUCUGUGUGUUUUUCAGAAGAGGUUCAGAGAGAGGAAGAAGAAUAAAGCAAAGGUGGUAACUAAUGUUUGUGGAAUCUGGAUAAAGAAUAUCCAGGAAUUCUUUGUACUAAUCCUCCAGUUUUUCUGUAAGUCUGAAGAUCAUGCGUUCUUUCCCAGAAAGAACAGAGCGCUUCUGCACCACCCUGGGCACCAAGGACCCAAACCUUCUAGCACCUCCCCUGCUCCCCCCCCCCCCCCGGGGCACCAAGGAACCAGGAUCCCUUGCACCACCUCUGAGCACCACACUAGCAAGCUUUCUUCUAUCCCAGGCCGCCCCCUUCUUACCCGCAGGGACCUCAAGCCAGCAGAGCAACGAAGGCCAGGAGCAGGUGCACAGAGACCACCAAGGGGCUGAGCGCUUUCAAGGAGCUGGCAGACGCGAUUUCCUUUUUCUUGCUCGAGGUCUCAGUCCCUUUUCUGGGGGAAGAUGUGGGCACGACUCAAGCAACCGCCCGGGACUGAUUGCCACCAGCUCUAGCCUCGUCGCCCCUCAGAAUCUCCCCUCUCCCCCCGCACCAAGUCAGUGGGGAGGAGAGUGGGCUUGUAGGACCAGAGGGACAAGGAUGGGAUUCAAACUUUGCGUGCAAAGGGGGUCCGGGGUCUCGGGGUAGGACGGGGUAGGACAGGCGGGUGGAAGGGGCGUGGUCGGGGGGGCGUGGCGCCAACCUCAGUCUUUCCACCUCCACCGAAGCGUUCUGCAGCUUGUGCUUCAACUCCUCGAUCUCUCCUAAGGUGGGAGAGAAACGGCGGGGUGGGGUGGGGGGGAACCUGUCAGCACAGUGGCACCGUCCUUCACCGGGCUCCAUCCUGGGACCUAAGACCGCCUCCGCCCCGCCCCCAUGCCACCCCAUCUUGGAAACCUGAGGUCCUCCUUUUACACCCUCCACUGGGUUUUUCUGGCAGCUCCCUAGCGACCCCAACCCUGGGGCCCUCCCUCUCCCCUCUUCUUCAAUACUUCACCCAUCCCUCCGAAUCCGCCUCCUUGGAAAGCUUUGUGCUUUCUCACCCCGAAGCUCCUCCCCUUUCGCGAGCCACUCCUGGCUCUGGGCCUUCUCCAUCUCCAGGGAAGCCAACAGGGUUACCUGGGACAGAGGGGAGGGCUAGAGACUGGGGUUCUGGCCUAGAGCGGGGGCUGCUGACCAGGGCCCCAGACUCCCUCCCCAGGCCCUAGGUUCAGAGGGGUCCAGGUCCAAACCCCUUUCAGAUUCACCUCCGAUCCUCCCUGCACCCCAGUCUCCCGCCUCCAAAUAUGUCCACAAAUUCCCAUCCUCCCAGGGCCGCUAAGGAUGUGAUCCUCGAAAUAGGGGGUUUGAGGCCCCCAACGUGGGAAUUUGGAGGCUCCCUAUGCCCAAACCCUAGGAGAAACUCCUAGACCUCUUUUUGCCCAAGAUUUAGAGGUCCCCUCUAGCCCAGAACACAGGGGGAUUUCUGAGCCCAAGUUAGACGUCAGCGGGAGUUUCAAGGUCCCCCAUAUCGGGACCCAAAUGAAAGUUUCAAAGUCUCUCUCUCUCAUUCAGUGGAUGUAUAAAGAGCCCCUUCCCAUCCCAACCCCUAGAUGGGAUCUCUGCUAUACAGGACUGGUGCCGAGAGGAGUUUCUAGCCCCCCCACAGCAGGCUGGAGGUUUUUGCACAUCCUAGAGGGGAUACUGACACACCCGAUUUGGAUGCUCCAAGGAGUUUUAAGGCCCUGCCCCACACCAGCACUGCUGAGAGAAUUCAGAGGUCCCCAAAGCCUGAUGGGGGGUUAUUGGGACUCAGGUCCCUAUAUGAGGGUCCAGGGGCAGUUUCAAGGUCUGUCUUUAUCUCCAUCUAGACCGGUGGGGACCACCCAAGCACGGGGGGGCCUCUCCAGGAACUGCAGUAGCUUACCAUAGUCUCGUUGCAGGUGGCAGCCUGGACCUCGUUCCUCAGUAAGCCUUCCCAGGCUUGGGUUAGCUGGAUCUCCAGGAGGCGGGUGACACCGUGACACUCCUCCUCUGCUAGGAGGCCAUCCUUGCAGGCUUUGCUGUUGGCCUUGACAACAAAGAUGACCAGGGCCACGGACAGACCCAGCACCGCCAGGAUCAGGAAGCCCCCCAGCCACCUCUGCCACCCAAGACUCCGACCUGGCACCAUUGACUCUGAGUAGUCAGUCCUGGGCACAGGCCAAUAGUGGUAAAAA